AUGCAAGUCGAACGGUAACAUUUCUAGCUUGCUAGAAGAUGACGAGUGGCGGACGGGUGAGUAAUGCUUGGGAACUUGCCUUUGCGAGGGGGAUAACAGUUGGAAACGACUGCUAAUACCGCAUAAUGUCUUCGGACCAAACGGGGCUUAGGCUCCGGCGCAAAGAGAGGCCCAAGUGAGAUUAGCUAGUUGGUAAGGUAACGGCUUACCAAGGCGACGAUCUCUAGCUGUUCUGAGAGGAAGAUCAGCCACACUGGGACUGAGACACGGCCCAGACUCCUACGGGAGGCAGCAGUGGGGAAUAUUGCACAAUGGGGGAAACCCUGAUGCAGCCAUGCCGCGUGUGUGAAGAAGGCCUUCGGGUUGUAAAGCACUUUCAGUUGUGAGGAAAAGUUAGUAGUUAAUACCUGCUAGCCGUGACGUUAAUAACAGAAGAAGCACCGGCUAACUCCGUGCCAGCAGCCGCGGUAAUACGGAGGGUGCGAGCGUUAAUCGGAAUUACUGGGCGUAAAGCGCACGCAGGCGGUUUGUUAAGCUAGAUGUGAAAGCCCC
rnacentral:rRNA from 1 species